CCUGGAACCCUGGAACCCUGGAACCCUGGAACCCUGGAACCCUGGAACCCUGGAACCCUGGAACCCUGGAACCCUGGAACCCUGGAACCCUGGAACCCUGGAACCCUGGAACCCUGGAACCCUGGAACCCUGGAACCCUGGAACCCUGGAACCCUGGAACCCUGGAACCCU
ensembl:ncRNA F57G4.13 ncRNA